GUCCCUGAGGUGCAAACCGUUAAGCGCUUGACUACUAACCAAAAGGUUGGUGGUUCGAACCCACCCAGAGGCA
rnacentral:tRNA from 1 species